AUUGAACGCUGGCGGCAGGCCUAACACAUGCAAGUCGAACGAGUGGCGGACGGGUGAGUAAUGUCUCGGAAACGGCCUGAUGGAUGGCGAUAACUACUGGGCACGGUAGCUAAUACCGCCUACCAUACGAUGUGCCCGAAUGGGAUUAGGUUGUUGGUGGGGUAACGGCGCACCAAGGCGACGAUCCCUAGCUGGUCUGAGAGGAUGACCAGCCACACUGGAACUGAGACACGGUCCAGACUCCUACGGGAGGCAGCAGUGGGGAAUAUUGCACAAUGGGCGAAAGCCUGAUGCAGCCAUGCCGCGUGUGUGAAGAAGGUCUUCGGAUUGUAAAGCACUUUCAGUGGGGAGGCGUUACCCACAGAAUAAGCACCGGCUAACUUCGUGCCAGCAGCCGCGGUAAUAC
rnacentral:rRNA from 1 species